rnacentral:sRNA from 1 species
UUAUUAAAAAUUUUGACGAUAGAAACACUAAGAAAGCUAUUUACUGCGUCUAAGAAAAUAUUUGUUGGUUUUAGCCUCUUUUUGGAUAAAAUGGGUAUAAGUGUUGUCUAAACACUUCUAAUCCAUCUCUAACUCUUAUAAUUAGUCGAAUGCAUUGGAUUGUGAUACCUUUUAACCAUAAAAACACUAACAAAGCUAUUUAGUUCUUCUAAGCAAUAUUUUGUUGGUUAUAGCUUCUUUUGAGAGUAAAUGGGUAUAAGUGUUGUCUAAACACUCCUAACCCAUCGCUAGCUCUUAUAAUUAGUCAAAUGCAUUGGAUUGUGACACAUUUUGACCAUAGAAACACUAACAAAUCUAUUGAGUUGUUCUAAGCAAGUUUUGUUGGUUUUAGCCUCUUUUGGGAGGAAAUGGGUAUAAGUGUUGUCUAAACACUUAUUAUCCAUCUCUAACUCUUAUAUUAGUCAAUUGCAUUGGAUUGUGACACAUGUUGACCAUAGAAACGCUAACAAAUAUAUUGACUGCUUCUAAGCAAGUUUUGUUUGUUUUAGCCUCUUUUGGGAGAAAAUGUGUAUACGUCUUGGCUAAAGACUCCUAAUCUAUCUCUAACUCUAUCAUUAGUCAAAUGCAUU